AGAGUUUGAUCAUGGCUCAGGAUGAACGUUGGCGGUGUGCCUAAUACAUGCAAGUCGAACGGUGAUCUUAUGGGAGCUUGCUUCCAUUUGAUUAUAGUGGCGAACGGGUGAGUAACGCGUUGGUGAUCUGCCUCGAAGUGUGGAAUAACGUUCCGAAAGGGACGCUAAUACCGCAUGUGCUCAAGGUUUUUUAGAAAGCUUUGAGUAAAGGAUUUAUUCGCUUCGAGAGGAGCCUGCGUCCCAUCAGCUAGUUGGUAAGGUAACGGCUUACCAAGGCUAUGACGGGUAGGGGACCUGAGAGGGUGGCCCCCCACAAUGGAACUGAAACACGGUCCAUACACCUACGGGUGGCAGCAGUAGGGAAUAUUAGAAAUGGGCGAAAGCCUGAUCUAGCGACACCGCGUGUGCGAUGAAGGCCUUCGGGUUGUAAAGCACUUUUUGGAAGGAAUAGGAAGGAAGGUACUUCCAGAAUAAGUCUCGGCUAACUACGUGCCAGCCGCAGC
rnacentral:rRNA from 1 species